UGCAGUCGAGCGAAUCGAUGGGAGCUUGCUCCCUGAGAUUAGCGGCGGACGGGUGAGUAACACGUGGGCAACCUGCCUAUAAAACUGGGAUAACUUCGGGAAACCGGAGCUAAUACCGGAUACGUUCUUUUCUCGCAUGAGAGAAGAUGGAAAGACGGUUUACGCUGUCACUUAUAGAUGGGCCCGCGGCGCAUUAGCUAGUUGGUGAGGUAAUGGCUCACCAAGGCGACAAUGCGUAGCCAACCUGAGAGGGUGAUCGGCCACACUGGGACUGAGACACGGCCCAAACUCCUACGGGAGGCAGCAGUAGGGAAUCUUCCGCAAUGGACGAAAGUCUGACGGAGCAACGCCCCGUGAACGAAGAAGGCCUUCGGGUCGUAAAGUUCUGUUGUUAGGGAAGAACAAGUACCAGAGUAACUGCUGGUACCUUGACGGUACCUAACCAGAAAGCCACGGCUAACUACGUGCCAGCAGCCGCGGUAAUACGUAGGUGGCAAGCGUUGUCCGGAAUUAUUGGGCGUAAAGCGCGCGCAGGUGGUUCCUUAAGUCUGAUGUGAAAGCCCACGGCUCACCCGUGGAGGGUCAUUGGAAACUGGGGAACUUGAGUGCAGAAAAGGAAAGUGGAAUUCCAAGUGUAGCGGUGAAAUGCGUAAAGAUUUGGAGGAACACCAGUGGCGAAGGCGACUUUCUGGUCUGUAACUGACACUGAGGCGCGAAAGCGUGGGGAGCAAACAGGAUUAGAUACCCUGGUAGUCCACGCCGUAAACGAUGAGUGCUAAGUGUUAGAGGGUUUCCGCCCUUUAGUGCUGCAGCUAACGCAUUAAGCACUCCGCCUGGGGAGUACGGCCGCAAGGCUGAAACUCAUAGGAAUUGACGGGGGCCCGCACAAGCGGUGGAGCAUGUGGUUUAAUUCGAAGCAACGCGAAGAACCUUACCAGGUCUUGACAUCCUCUGACAACCCUAGAGAUAGGGCUUUCCCCUUCGGGGG
rnacentral:rRNA from 1 species